rnacentral:lncRNA from 1 species
AUGUGCAGCACAGCAUGACCGACGGAGCACCACAAGCUGCAGAGCUCGUCGGCACCACCAGAUUGUCGGCGCUACGCAGGCCCACCUAUCAUCGCCACCGCCAUCGAGGUCCGGUCCUCGCCUGACCCCGGCUUGGACACGCCGGAUCUAGACCCAGAGGGCCAGAUCCGGCCGUUCCCCAUCCUGCACCACCGCCGCCGGCCGGCCUUUCGCGUCGGGACACGCGGGAAACCACGGAGCUCGCCCACGCACAGCCCUCACAGCCGCUGCCGCCGGGCCCCUCAGAGCCCGGAUCCCACCGGAGACACGCUGGAUCUGGACCUUGGGAGGUCAGAUCCGGUCGUCCCCCUCGCCGCCUGCCCAAGAGAAGGAGGUGGUCACUGGCGCCGGACGUGGAGGAGGAGGAACCAAGCCCAGGCCCAAUGCCUCCCGAGAAGCCUCAAACCUGGAGAAGAGGAGAGGGAGGAAGGAGAAAGGAAGAGAGAGGGAGAAAAGAGGGAGGGGGAGGAGGAGGAGGAGGAGGCGGCCCCGCCGCUGCCGGCCUGCGGCGGCGUUGCCGGCGGCAGCGAGGCAGGCGAGGCGCAGCGGGGUUGGAGCUAGGCGUCGGCCUUUUUGCCUCCCGGGUUGCAAGAGAGGCAACACGGGAGUCAGGAGUCACCGAGGGUCUGAGCCUUCAGGUGCCUUACUAAAGAUAGAGGG